rnacentral:tRNA from 1 species
GGGGAUUUAGUUCAGCGGUAGAACGCUUGCCUAGCGAGCGCAAGGCCCUGGGUUCGGUCCCCAGCCCCG